AUUCUGGAUUGAUAGGUUCAAUACAUGUCCUAUGUACUCGUCAAUCGUCAAUUAUCAAAUAAACACUACUAGCUACACAUGAAAAUAAAGAGGUUACUUCAUCUAUAAAAGUUACAUUGUUGCUUUUAACUUUUAAGUGAUGGCUUGGUGCAUGUAUAAUGUACAGAAGACUCUUCUCGUGGAAAAAAGGGGAGUACUUUAGAUAGAUAGAUAACGACGAGUGACGCUGUGCAUGUAUAAUGAUAAUACAGAGAACCAACUUUGUAUUUACGACAGAGAUGCCCUACUAUGAUAGUCACUGACUCACUACUCAUUAAGCACUCGCACGGCAGUCAAUAAUUCAACAACAAACAAUUGUUAUAGCGCUAAUUGUUAUUCAUCUCAUGAAUAACUCAGCUUAUAAUUCCAAAAUUACGUGUCUGAAAACCAGGUUCAGUUCUCAGGACGCUGAAAAAUAAGAAGCAAUGGGCGUGAGAGAAGCCCUGAGUUGGGUGAAAAACAAAGGAUGGUAUGAAGCUGUGGUGGAGACUGAUUGUCUUGCUGUCAUACAAGCAAUUAGGUGCUCAAGUAUCACACUAUCAUAUUAUGGUCGUGUUCUGGAAGAGUGCAAGGAGCUCUUAAGUCAAUUAAAGGAGAGGAAUAUAGCCUUGAACUUUGUGAAACGAUCCGCGAACCAGGUUGCUCACUAUUUAGCGAGACACUCUAGUUCUAUAGCUGAUUGUAUGUGGAAAAAGGAAGAUAUUCACCCUGAAUUUUCACAUGUACUUGUGACUGAUUUGAAAGUUUAAUAAAAUGCUU